GCCGCUAUCGUCUAACGGAAAGGACGCAGGGUUUUCAACCCUGAAAUCAGAGUUCGAUUCUCUGUAGCGGCACCA
rnacentral:tRNA from 1 species